rnacentral:rRNA from 1 species
UGGGGAAUAUUGCACAAUGGGCGCAAGCCUGAUGCAGCCAUGCCGCGUGUAUGAAGAAGGCCUUCGGGUUGUAAAGUACUUUCAGCGGGGAGGAAGGCGAUAAGGUUAAUAACCUUGUCGAUUGACGUUACCCGCAGAAGAAGCACCGGCUAACUCCGUGCCAGCAGCCGCGGUAAUACGGAGGGUGCAAGCGUUAAUCGGAAUUACUGGGCGUAAAGCGCACGCAGGCGGUCUGUCAAGUCGGAUGUGAAAUCCCCGGGCUCAACCUGGGAACUGCAUUCGAAACUGGCAGGCUAGAGUCUUGUAGAGGGGGGUAGAAUUCCAGGUGUAACGGUGAAAUGCGUAGAGAUCUGGAGGAAUACCGGUGGCGAAGGCGGCCCCCUGGACAAAGACUGACGCUCAGGUGCGAAAGCGUGGGGAGCAAACA